rnacentral:rRNA from 1 species
GGACGAACGCUGGCGGCGUGCCUAACACAUGCAAGUCGAGCGAGGAGAUCCUUCGGGAUGAUCCUAGCGGCGGACGGGUGAGUAACACGUGGGCAACCUGCCUCAUAGAGAGGAAUAGCCUUCCGAAAGGGAGAUUAAUACCUCAUAACAUUGCAGUUUCGCAUGAAACAGCAAUUAAAGGAGCAAUCCGCUAUGAGAUGGGCCCGCGGCGCAUUAGCUAGUUGGUGAGGUAACGGCUCACCAAGGCGACGAUGCGUAGCCGACCUGAGAGGGUGAUCGGCCACAUUGGGACUGAGACACGGCCCAGACUCCUACGGGAGGCAGCAGUGGGGAAUAUUGCACAAUGGGGGAAACCCUGAUGCAGCCAACGCCGCGUGAGUGAUGACGGCCUUCGGGUUGUAAAGCUCUGUCUUCAGGGACGAUAAUGACGGUACCUGAGGAGGAAGCCACGGCUAACUACGUGCCAGCAGCUGC